ensembl:lncRNA
CUCUCACCCUUUUUCUCCCUCUCUCUCCCCCUCUCAUUCUCAAGAGCUGUUUCUUUAUGGAUCUGGGAGGGUAGGUGGGUGGGGGAGCUACCUAACUUCUUCCCUGCUUAAGCAAUCUGAGAAUGGAACUCAUGUGAAUAUGCAAAUAGGACUGCCUGGGCCGCGUUGCUGACACGUACUUGUGGAUUUCUUAAAUUCUUCUGCGACCAUAAGAAGAAGGAGUCAAAGAAGAAUGCUUCCCUUGAAACUUGAAAAAGGAAAUAAGGAGCAAUUCUAAAGUAUCCCUGUCUCAUGACCCUGUCAUAUUCUCUGGGAAAUGAACUUAUGGAAGGCUGCAGGACGUGCCAGCAGAAGAGGUGAAGGGUUCCUGACUCUUGAGAAGGAUCCCGCCUCCCUCUUCUCCUUUAGAGGGAGAGCUCCCCACUAGCACCCUGAUCUUUCCUGGACCCUUCAAAGACAGCAUCCACAGUUUCCUGGACUGGAGAAGUCUGACGAGCAGUUCUUCCCAGGCACUGAUUUGGAAACCAAAACAUCGUGGAUACUCAAAGGACAACUUUAAUCCUUGCCGUCAUUUUCUUCAUCGUUGAUUUUAGAGAGG